GAUGAACGCUGGCGGCGUGCCUAAUACAUGCAAGUCGAGCGAACAGACGAGGAGCUUGCUCCUCUGACGUUAGCGGCGGACGGGUGAGUAACACGUGGAUAACCUACCUAUAAGACUGGGAUAACUUCGGGAAACCGGAGCUAAUACCGGAUAAUAUAUUGAACCGCAUGGUUCAAUAGUGAAAGACGGUUUUGCUGUCACUUAUAGAUGGAUCCGCGCCGCAUUAGCUAGUUGGUAAGGUAACGGCUUACCAAGGCGACGAUGCGUAGCCGACCUGAGAGGGUGUCAGGCCACCGUGGAAUUGCGCCCGGCACCGGCCUCCGCCGGACGGAGCCAGUGGGGAAUUUCCCGAAAUGGGCGAAGCCCUGACGGAGCACCCCGGGGUGAGUAAUAAGGUUUUUGGGAUCUAAAACUUUUUUUAUGGGGGAAAAACAAAUGUGUAAUUAACUAUGCCCUUCUUGACGGUCCCUAAUAGAAAAACCACGGCUAACCACGUC
rnacentral:rRNA from 1 species